rnacentral:tRNA from 1 species
UUAGCUCAAUGGUUGAGCGUUGGCUUUGAGACCCACAGGUCGGUGGUUCAAACCCACCA